GAUGAAGAACGCAGCGAAAUGCGAUAAAUAAUGUGAAUUGCAGAAUUCAGUGAAUCAUCGAGUCUUUGAACGCACAUUGCGCCCCCUGGUAUUCCGGGGGGCAUGCCUGUCCGAGCGUCAUUGCUGCCCUCAAGCACGGCUUGUGUGUUGGGCCCCCGUCCCCCCCUCCCGGGGGACGGGCCCGAAAGGCAGCGGCGGCACCGCGUCCGGUCCUCGAGCGUAUGGGGCUUUGUCACCCGCUCUGUAGGCCCGGCCGGCGCCUGCCGACCACCAUCAAUCUUUUUUCAGGUUGACCUCGGAUCAGGUAGGGAUACCCGCUGAACUUAAGCAUAUCAAUAAGCGGAGA
rnacentral:misc_RNA from 1 species